UCAUUACAAGGAGCCUUAGACGUGGAGGAGGGAUGCAGACCCGUGUCAGAGAUGCACACUGAGAGGCUAAACCAGCCUCUCAUCAGCUCACACUGAUGUGCAGAGGCCAUAAGCCAAGGAGGGCAGGCAGCUUCUAAGCGUGAGAAGGAAGCAAGCCUCCAGAAGAAACGGCAUCCUGCUGACACUGUGAUUUGAAGCCAAUGAGACGCAUUUGGGACUUUGGAUCCUCAGAACCACAAUAACAAAAAUGCCCAUGGUGCAUCUGCCAAAACUUUUUCAUCUCAAAGGUUGUAUUUGGGACUCAGUCUUACACCUCAUAUAUCUUGUAUCCCUUUUAUCCUUUAUUUUUAGUCUGUUUUAUUAUCAUGGAACGUUUAUCUGCCAUUAAGUGUGGUUUGGUGGUACUGUUUAUAUUAAACUUUGAUCAUAUUCUU